AUCCUUGGAAAAAAACACAGAUUUUUUUUGGGAAAAAUCCUCAAAUUUUGGGAAUUUCCAGCAGGAGGAAGAGGAGGCUGAGAAGAAGAAGAAAAAUCGCAAAAAUGAGAAACCCAAAGGGAAAAAACAGGGAAAAUCCCUCAGUGAGGAUGAGGCCGAAGGCUCCGAGGAGAUCAAGGG